AACUCUACAAUGCAGGCAACUGCGAUAGGGGAACAUCGAGUGGCUGUCAUAUUGAUAGUCUGUCCACCCGCCUAAAAAGCGGGUGUUAGCAAGGGCCGGGCAAGACCGGUGCCAGCCGCCGCGGUAAUACCGGCGGCUCGAGUGGUGGCCGAUAUUAUUGAGUCUAAAGGGUCCGUAGCCGGCUUUGCAAGUCUCUCGGGAAAUCCAGCGGCUUAACCGUUGGUCGUCCGGGGGGUACUACAUUGCUUGGGACUGGGAGAGGUAGGAGGUACUCAGGGGGUAGGAGUGAAAUCCUGUAAUCCUUUGGGGACCACCGGUGGCGAAGGCGUCCUACCAGAACAGGUCCGACGGUGAGGGACGAAAGCUAGGGGCACGAACCGGAUUAGAUACCCGGGUAGUCCUAGCCGUAAACGAUGCUCGCUAGGUGUCACAACAGUCGUGAACUGUUGUGGUGCCGUAGGGAAGCCGUGAAGCGAGCCACUUGGGAAGUACGACCGCAAGGUUGAAACUUAA
rnacentral:rRNA from 1 species